GGCGUUCUAAGUAACGCCCUGGAUUUAACUGCGUGCAGUUAGCGUGGGUAUUUUUAAAUUUAUUUUUGCCCAUUUCCUUAAAUGUGCCUCUCUUCCUCCCCUCUCCUCUCCCAAGAGCAAUACAUAACGCUGCUCCACUGAACCGGGAAAGCAAGGAAAAAUACGAUUACGCUUAAAUUACUCCAGAAUUAAUUUCUGGAGAUUUAGCUGUAGCAAAACAGCAAGGAGUCUGGUGGCACCUCAAAGACUUAAGACUCGUUGUUUUUCCAUUGUUGUAGAUUGCAGGUUUUGCCCUGGGAAUGUUUCUGAAUCUAGGAACAAAUUAACUUUUCCAGAGUGAACAACGGACUUUGCUAACAACGAAUGCUUAGGAAAGGGUUGAAAGCUGCUUUAAUAUUAACAGAAAUGUAUUUCACUAAUGAGACGCUGGAAAAGGCCACACAUUUUGUUUUGUGAACUGAAGCUGCUCUUGAUGACACCAACAAAAUAAGACUAAACAAGUCCCAGCAGGGUCAGUCAGUGUCUGGAUGGGUGAGCAUCUGAAGCCACAUUUAUGCUGCCUUAUCUUCCACAACGGAAGAAAGGCGGACUGUUAAGUUGUGGGUGAACAUAUCAGAUGACACAGCAAUUUUUCAAACAGCUCUUGUUUAUUCACAGGCCAGAAAAGAACUGAACAGAAAGGUUCAACCAGCCUGCUUAUAUAGAGCUCCACUACAACGCAACAGUAACCACUUUCUGUAACUAUCCAAUCACUGAAUGUCACUUUCAAUCCCUUAUUUGCAUAUGUGGACCUGAGUGAAAACUACAGUAUCCCCCUGCUGGCCCAGGGUGAGAACUAAAGUACAUAACAUGGACUAUAAAUGUAAUAAACAAACCAACUAGCCAGCCAGCCAGCCAGCCAGCCAGCCAACAAACAACUUCCUAGGGGCCCAAGUCAGAUAGCAACAAUGAAGAAAACCCACUUGGCUGUUAUAAAGAAAGCAACACAAAGUGCAUGUGGUGAGCUGCUUGCUGCCAUUGACAAAAGUAAUGAAUAAUGCUACCGGCCAACAUCGAGAGUAGCCCCAUUAUCUUCACUAACAGGGAAUGAUGUAUUCAGGCUGUCACCACUGACAAAGCCUUGUCUCUUGUGUAGAUUUAUCUGAGUGGGUGGAACAGA